rnacentral:rRNA from 1 species
UACGGAGGGAGCUAGCGUUGUUCGGAAUUACUGGGCGUAAAGCGCACGUAGGCGGCUUUUUAAGUCAGGGGUGAAAUCCCGGGGCUCAACCCCGGAACUGCCCUUGAAACUGGAGAGCUAGAAUCUUGGAGAGGCGAGUGGAAUUCCGAGUGUAGAGGUGAAAUUCGUAGAUAUUCGGAAGAACACCAGUGGCGAAGGCGACUCGCUGGACAAGUAUUGACGCUGAGAUGCGAAAGCGUGGGGAGCAAACAGG